rnacentral:tRNA from 1 species
GGGGCAUUAGCUCAGCUGGUAGAGCGCUUCCAUGGCAUGGAAGAGGUCAACGGUUCGACUCCGUUAUGCUCCACCA